GCUGACCGACGCCUCCCGGGGAGCCCGGAGCCGCCUUGAAUCUGGGAUCUGCGGAGAGAGCUUUCCAGAUCGCCCCUUGGCCGGUGGCAGAAGCCAGAGGCGAGUGACUGCAUGAUCAAUCCAGAUGGAAUUUUUGCUUUACCAAAAGCCACACCCAUGGUGUGUGGGAGGGAUGCUGGUGAAAGAGACUUCCUCAUACAAUCUGCUGUGCCCUCAUUUUUACCAGGGUUCUGUCAACACAGGAGAAAAGAACUAGGGGGAAAUACCUGUAGGAAAAUGGUUAUAUACUUGCUGUCAAGAAGACAUUACUGCAACCAAAGUCAAAGAAAGAUUCAUUGCAGGUGUGAGAGAAUGUUGGGAGGACUGAAGACUGUAAAAUGGGAGGAGAGAUGAAGAUGUGGACAGUUUUAUUUCCUGACGGUUGCUCUCCAUUCUAACUUGUGCCUCUCCAUAGCAAUGCAGGGCGACUGUCUUCCAGAUGAAAAUCUCUCGCACUCAGAGCUGAUGUCUCGUGUCCACAAAGGACCUCUGUACAUACUUAUGACAGCUGUUAUAUGCAUUUCUGAAUUAAUA
ensembl:lncRNA